GAGAACCUCACACUCUCCGACCAUUAGACGUGGCUCUUGCCUGAUCCUUUCAUCUCCUUCUAUCCCCUCGUACCAAAAUUGCUUCCACCCGAGCGCUGCAGAUUCAAUUCUGAAUAAACCUUAGUUUCCCCUCUUGAUUCCUUGCCGUGAUCUUGCUCGUCCUCAACUGCACGCACCUUUGCAGCUCGGCUCACUGGUGCGGCGACGGCGUGACCAUCUACGGCGCCUGGUUUUUCCCCGAUGUAUGCCUCCUCAAUCUCUUAUGCUGGUCAACGGCGGCGGAGGGGUAGCAGGGCUCGACGAGAAGCUGCACAAUGGAGGAGGCGAGCUUGUCGAUCUUGACAGUGCCGUUGUCGUCGCCGUCCUUCGAGGCGACAUGGGUGUGGAUCUCGUCUGCUACAGCGAGCUUGGAUCCACAUCGUAUCGUGGUUGUCCCCGAGCAAGACAGCCCAGCAGGUCGUCUUGCUCCUCGAUAGAGGUAGCCUGAUUUCGGCGGCUCAUUCUUCCACCUGUAGGUCCUCACUUCUCCAUUUUCAUGCAUUUAUCAUAUAUUUUUUUCUUGGUCCUUAUCAUUUCUUUGCAUGUGUAUGGCUAAACUAAUAGGAGUACAAUGUGCUUUCGGGUACAACUUGUUACUGAAAGGUGUAAAUUUAUCUAUGCCCCCUCCACUUUUUUUAGUACUUGGGACUGGCAUCGACAAUGUUUGGCCCCCUGCUCCCAUUCUUUUCAACAGAUUUAAUAUGUAAUUAGUUAAUUUGUUAUAAUUUUACGAUUUCCCAAAGAUAGAAUUAUUUUAGUAAGUGAAUAUGAAAGUAGGUGCCAUUUAAUUUUACAUAUUAACUAUAAUGAUCCGUGGAUGCUGUAACUACUGUCAUGUUCAGUAGAAUAAUUUUCAAAUAUCAAAAAAUAUAUAUAGCACCGACAAUUGGUAUUAUUGAGCUAUUUCCAUCGAAUGUUGAUGCAUGUUUCAAUAAUUCUGGGAGUAUUAGAUCAUAUCCGCCGUCAUAUCAUGUUAGCAUAGCAAAAUCAGUUUAGUUCCAUCUUCUUAUGGUUAUGUUCCAUCAUAGGAGUAUCAUGUUAGCAUAGAAAAAACAGGGCUAGUAGCAUGUGUAAGUGCGUUUUUAGUUCCUACCUUGAGGAUAUUUCUGUGAAGACUAUGUUCUUGACCACAUCAUUCUCGCUGUUAGUUCAUUUGCUAUACAAAAGAAAAUAACAUGUGUGAUCAAGUCGGUAGGGUAUUACUUGCGAGUGCGUUUCCAAAGUAUAACCUUUCUCUUAUAUUUCUCUUGAACACUUUGAUCUUUAUGUAGAUCACCCGGUCAACAAUAUCAGGUCUUCAUGAUGCUGCUAUGCCUACUUUCUGUAGCAAAGAUUGAAUGUCACAAAUAGGUCUGUGUAUCCAGCCCAUCGACAUAUUGCCAUAGCAUCGUAUUAGUUUUAUGCUUUGUAUCUUUGGGCUAUCUGUGAAGCUGGAUGGCACAUGACAAUAGUAUUGUCCUUCAUACCUGGGCAGCCCUUGCAUCUCCUCGGUCUAUUGUGUCUUGCAAGCCAGCAUAUAAUUGCGUUCUUAGGUUUCCUUUAUGUCUUUUCAUGCAGUCUAUUUGUACUGCACUACUGCAAAAUGCCUGCAAAGGAAUCCGUAUUGAACUGCAAUUUAAGCUUUUCACACACCAGCAAGGUUUACAUGAUUUCUCUUGCAUUUUGCACCUUCUUUUAUUGUGCAAUGUAUAUUUCCUCUAUACCCAUCUUCUCCGUAGUGGAAUAACAAUGGAUACUGCACAACCAUGAAUUUUGAAUGGUUCUCCGAUAUUCUUCUUGGUCUCAUGUCUUUGUACUGAACAAUGAUAUCAUGUACUUUUCCAUUCUCUGUUGUAUCACUGACAAUCAAGGCUGCUACUUCAGUUGCAGAUGGCAUGUCAUGUUGUGCUAAUCUCACAUUGUGAUAGUUCAAGUCUGGUACUUCAGUUGCAGAUGGUAUGCCAUGUCGUGUUAAUCUCACGUGGAUAGUCACCUUCGAAUUUAUCCCUUACCAUUCUGAGUGUUUUUGCUAGUCUAUCUUUAUCCAAUAUAUUUUUAAGGUCCUCGACAAUGGGAGGAUCUGUUGAUUCCCUUUUAUCUUCUGAUGUUGACGCGUCAACUCUGAUUCUUACCUCAUUUGUAGUGGCAUAGGUGUGCAACUACGCCGUGCGUAGUUUGUCUUUACCUUCAGGUAGUAGAGCACCUAUCUGUGAUAUUUUUGGCCAUUCAUUCCAAAUACAUAAGGCAUGGGACCAUUUUUUCUGUGUCUACCUCUCCUCCCAUUGAUGUGAAAGCGAACAUGGAGUUGUACAAUCUGAUAUUGUGCAUGUAGUUCUUUCUUCCACCUCUUUACGAACUAAAAGCAUUUGAUUGUGUUGUCACACCUUGAAUUGAAGACGUGCAUUAUACUACUGAUUAUGUUAUUGCUGUUAAGAAAUAUUGAAAUCUAAGAAUAAGAUAAGAUUGCAAUUGAGGAUGAGAAGUUGAUGUACAACAAUGACUGAAAAUCCACAAGGGGAACUUAUGAGAAGUUUAAAAAGCCAUUUUACAUGAAUUAAAAGCUUUUGAUUGUGUUGUCAUACCUUGAAUUGAAGACAUUAGUUGUUCUGCCAUUUCUGCUCUUACUUUUAAGAAAAUAUUGAACUUUAUGUCAGUUCUAUAUGAUCUCUGCAGAUGGUCCAGCUGCUGGAGGUGAUCUGCUCACCUGAUGGAAUCGUCGGCACACAAUUGAGAAGAUUGGGGCACUCGCUCGUGAGAGUUCUUUUUUUAGAGCUCUUUUUUAGGAAAACCUGAUGGAGCCGAUGGCACAAUCGAGGAGGAUGGCACAAUCGUGGAGAUUGGGGCACUCGCUCGUGAGAGUUCUUUUUUAGGGAAAGCCAUCAUGGUGAUGUAUAUUGAUUUGGAAUAAUAGUACAUCAUCGGCAAGAACGGCAAGUAAAAAUUUGGAGGGUUGCUUGUGAUGGUAUGAGUCGAACCUAUGGUGAGUUUUGUUUAUGAGAUCGUGAGAUUGAUUGUGUGAUUUGUGUAAAGAACACGGGACAGAUCAAAAAAUGGUCUGUGAGACCCGCGUAUAGGAGAUGGCAAAAAGACAAAACGGCAUGCAUGCAAUUGAUCAUUGUAGGGUUGGAUAUUUGGGAAGAAUCCAUCAACGUACAUACCUUGCUCUUGGCCACUGCUCAUGCAUGCUACAUAUUGGUAAAGGGAGCCACCUCGAAGGAGGCGACAUGUGCCUUUUAGCCC
rnacentral:lncRNA from 1 species